UUUCUCCACGUUUCAAUAAUUUCAAACAGUGUGACACGUUUCACUAGAGGAAAUGUGGCGGCCAAGGUGAAUGACAUGUGUCAAAUGCUCCCAUUUGUUCAUGACUCGUGGUUUCUUAGAUUUCCAGUUUCUACCAGAAGAAUGAAUAGUUGAGAAAAAGGACCUAGCAUUAGCAAAGCAAAGGAUUUUUGUAGAAAACAAUGAAGCAGCACCAGGGAAGGCUAGUGUUUGGAUAGUGGUCAAGAGCCGGAGGCAUUACUAGCACUACUGCACAAGGUUGGCCAAACACGGCGGAGCUGCUGCCGUUGCGUUUUAUGACAGCCAAAGCGCCCAACCGCGCCGCCGUUCAUGGACAUAGGCUGCCCAUCCCUCGUGUUGUUGAUGAGGAAGAAGUAGAGAAGGUGAUAGAGAAAGGGAAAGAGGAGAAAGAAGAAAAGAGGCAGGAGGUGGAGAAGGCCGUCGACUCCAAAAUCAACCGCAGCCGCUCCGAAGGUGACACCUGCCCUCCUGAGACUACUGCUUCUAGUUAGUUAAUCUUCCAUCACAAUCAUAAACCAUUUGUGUUUUUUGUUGUAAUUUACUCGUGCUUUUAUUUGUGUGUUUGCACAAUUUAUGAUCCAACAUAAUGCGCCAAAGAAAAGAGCUUGCUGUC